rnacentral:rRNA from 1 species
CCCUUAGAUGUUCUGGGCCGCACGCGCGCUACACUGAUUCAUGCAACAAGUUUUGUCCUUGGCUGAUAGGCCUGGGUAAUCUUUGAACGUGAAUCGUGAUGGGGAUAGAUGAUUGCAAUUAUUCUUCUUCAACGAGGAAUUCCUAGUAAACGCAAGUCAUCAGCUUGCAUUGAUUACGUCCCUGCCCUUUGUACACACCGCCCGUCGCACCUACCGAUUGAAUGGUCCGGUGAAAUCUUCGGAUCUGAGAGAUGUCUGAUUAAUUUCGGACGCCUUUUGGAAAAGUUGCUUAAACCUUACCAUUUAGAGGAAGGUGAAGUCGUAACA